rnacentral:tRNA from 1 species
GCCUGGGUGGCUCAGUCGGUUAAGCAUCUGUCUUCAGCUCAGGUCAUGAUCUUGGGUUCUUGGGAUCGAGUCCCACUUCUGGCU